UGUUCUCUGAAUGUUUCUUUUUAUAGCUUUUUUGUUGUAUGAUAAAAUUUUAUUAUACGAAGGACAAAGGGAAGAUACUAGAAGCUUCCAGGAAGGAAAAAAAGAUGUGUCAUAUACAAAGGAUCAGGAAACAGAAUGGCUUGAAACAUUUCAGCAGCAAUACUGGAAGCUAGAAGACAGUGUUGGUUUAAUGCCUUGGAAGAUUGGAAGGACGAUACUUUUCAGCCUAGAAAUCUUCAUCCAGCCAAGCUAUCAAGCAAAUCCAGGCUCCUUGUCACGACUGCCUCACCACUACCACUGCGAGACAGAAAAUAUCCCAGCAAGAAUAAAUGGACAGGCACAGACCACCCAGAGAAAGGCUGGCAAAAAAAAAAUAGCCGUCCCUGACCUGUCCCUGAAAAUGACACCUGGUCCUUUGGGCUGCUGUCUCUCUCACGUCGGGACCCAAACUUCUGUGUUUCCUGGAUGUCUGUCAGUGUCUCCUUCAGUGUUUCAGGUCCAUCAACCCUAAUCUCACAGCAUCUGUAGAUGCGGUUUCAGGUGGAGGAGCCAGCAGCCUGCAUGAGGUCCCCAGCCCAUCAAGACUUCCCAGGGAUCUGUCUCCGUGUGGGCCCAGCCUGACUUGGUGCAGGCAGCCUUCAGAGGAGCUGUCGCUGCAGCCAUAAUCCCAACCAUUGCCACCAGCUCUGGAAACAGUGGUGACAGCAACAGUAGAGGUUCAGCCUCCACUUUCAUGGAGCUUACAGAUGGGUCAGGGAGACAGCCAGGCAAUUGUGAUCGCAUAUAGUGAAUACUAGGAGGGUGUUACGGGAGCACAGAGUAGGGGCUUGAGUCCCAGGUGUGUGCAUGUGCGUGUGUGGGUAGUUAUUGUGAAUGUCAAGGAAGACUUGCCUGAAAAGGGUGACAUCACAGCUCAUGCCUGAAGGAUGAUUUACAGGGGAGUCUUCUAGGUAGGGAAAGUGGCACAGGAGGUGAGAAAGAGUACAGUUUGGUAAACCAGAAGGAGUAGGUGGGGCCAGGAUUCGACUGUGGCAGGUGAGGCUGGAACAUGUGAGUGCAGGGCAGAUCAUGUCUUUAUUUUAACUUCUGGUAUCUGUUAACCAUGGAUCUUUUGCACUGAUUUUGAUUUUUUAAAAAAUAUUGCAUUAAAAUAACAUUUGUCUUGAUCACUGA